GAUGAACGCUGGCGGCGUGCCUAAUACAUGCAAGUCGAGCGAACGGACGAGAAGCUUGCUUCUCUGAUGUUAGCGGCGGACGGGUGAGUAACACGUGGAUAACCUACCUAUAAGACUGGGAUAACUUCGGGAAACCGGAGCUAAUACCGGAUAAUAUUUUGAACCGCAUGGUUCAAAAGUGAAAGACGGUCUUGCUGUCACUUAUAGAUGGAUCCGCGCUGCAUUAGCUAGUUGGUAAGGUAACGGCUUACCAAGGCAACGAUGCAUAGCCGACCUGAGAGGGUGAUCGGCCACACUGGAACUGAGACACGGUCCAGACUCCUACGGGAGGCAGCAGUAGGGAAUCUUCCGCAAUGGGCGAAAGCCUGACGGAGCAACGCCGCGUGAGUGAUGAAGGUCUUCGGAUCGUAAAACUCUGUUAUUAGGGAAGAACAUAUGUGUAAGUAACUGUGCACAUCUUGACGGUACCUAAUCAGAAAGCCACGGCUAACUACGUGCCAGCAGCCGCGGUAAUACGUAGGUGGCAAGCGUUAUCCGGAAUUAUUGGGCGUAAAGCGCGCGUAGGCGGUUUUUUAAGUCUGAUGUGAAAGCCCACGGCUCAACCGUGGAGGGUCAUUGGAAACUGGAAAACAUGAGUGCAGAAGAGGAAAGUGGAAUUCCAUGUGUAGCGGUGAAAUGCGCAGAGAUAUGGAGGAACACCAGUGGCGAAGGCGACUUUCUGGUCUGUAACUGACGCUGAUGUGCGAAAGCGUGGGGAUCAAACAGGAUUAGAUACCCUGGUAGUCCACGCCGUAAACGAUGAGUGCUAAGUGUUAGGGGGUUUCCGCCCCUUAGUGCUGCAGCUAACGCAUUAAGCACUCCGCCUGGGGAGUACGACCGCAAGGUUGAAACUCAAAGGAAUUGACGGGGACCCGCACAAGCGGUGGAGCAUGUGGUUUAAUUCGAAGCAACGCGAAGAACCUUACCAAAUCUUGACAUCCUUUGACAACUCUAGAGAUAGAGCCUUCCCCUUCGGGGGACAAAGUGACAGGUGGUGCAUGGUUGUCGUCAGCUCGUGUCGUGAGAUGUUGGGUUAAGUCCCGCAACGAGCGCAACCCUUAAGCUUAGUUGCCAUCAUUAAGUUGGGCACUCUAAGUUGACUGCCGGUGACAAACCGGAGGAAGGUGGGGAUGACGUCAAAUCAUCAUGCCCCUUAUGAUUUGGGCUACACACGUGCUACAAUGGACAAUACAAAGGGCAGCGAAACCGCGAGGUCAAGCAAAUCCCAUAAAGUUGUUCUCAGUUCGGAUUGUAGUCUGCAACUCGACUACAUGAAGCUGGAAUCGCUAGUAAUCGUAGAUCAGCAUGCUACGGUGAAUACGUUCCCGGGUCU
rnacentral:rRNA from 1 species